rnacentral:lncRNA from 1 species
CCUAUAAUACAAUAUAAUAUAAUUAAAUAAAAUGAUAAAAAAUAAAGAAAUUGAAAAUGAAAAAAAAUAGUAUUUCAAGUUUAACGUCAGUUGUUACAUGUCUGAAGUCUCGAUUGCAUGUUUGACGUAAGAUGUUGCAUGUGUUGAAUAAAGCAAAAAUAAAGAAUAUUCCAGAAUAUUCUCGUCUGUUUCAUGUUUGACGUCGAAGUUGCGAACUUUACGUGAUAAGUUGCAUAUUUUGCGUGAAGUGUUGCAAGUUUCAUGUUUAACGUCAGUUGUUGCAUAUUCGACGGUUGGAUUUCAUGUUUGACGUAAGAUGUUGCAUGUGUUGAAUAAAGCCAAAAUAAAGAAUAUUCUAAAAUAUUCUCAUCCGUUUCAUGUUUGACGUCGAAGUUGAGAACUUUACGUGAUAAGUUGCAUAUUUCGCGUGAAAUGUUGCAAGUUUCAUGUUUAACGUUAGUUGUUGCAUGUCCGACGUCUCGAUUGCAUGUUUGACGUAAGAUGUUGCAUGUGUUGAAUAAGGCCAAAAUAAAGAAUAUUCUAGAAUAUUCUCGUCUGUUUCAUGUUUGACAUCCAAGUUGCGAACUUUACGUGAUAAGUCGCAUAUUUCGCGUGAAGUGUUGCAAGUUUCAUUUUUAACAUCAGUUGUUGCAUAUUCAACAGUUGGAUUUCAUGUUUGACGUAAGAUGUUGCAUGUGUUGAAUAAAGCCAAAAUAAAGAAUAUUCCGGAAUAUUCUCAUCCGUUUUAUUUUUGAUGUCGAAGUUGCGAACUUUACGUGAUAAGUUGCAUAUUUUGCAUAAAGUGUUGCAAGUUUCAUGUUUAACGUCAGUUGUUGCAUGUCGGACGUAACGGUUGCAUGUUUGACGUUAGAUGUUGCAUGUCUUGAAUAAAGCAAAAAUCAAGAAUAUUCCCGAAUAUUCUCACCUAUUUCAUGUUUGUCGUCAAAGCUGCGAACUUUACGUGAUAAGUUGUAUAUUUCGCAUGAAGUGUUGUAAGUUUCAUGUUUAACGUCAGUUGUUGCAUGUUUGACGUUAAAUGUUGCAUGUCUUGAAUAAAGCCAAAAUAAAGAAUAUUCCUGAAUAUUCUCGUCCGUUUCAAGUUUGACGUUGAAGUUGUAAACUUUACGUGAUAAAUUGCAUAUUUCACGUGAAUUAUUGCAAGUUUCAUGUUUAACAUCAGUUAUUACAUGUCAAACGUCACAUUUGCAUGUUUGAUGUUAAAUGUUGCAUGUCUUGAAUAAAGCCAAAAUAAAAAUAUUCCUGAAUAUUCUCGUCUGUUUCAUAUUUGACGUCGAAGUUGCAAACUUUACGUGAUAAGUUGCAUAUUUCACGUGAAGUGUUGUAAGUUUCAUGUUUAACGUCAGUUGUUGCAUGUCGGACGUCACGGUUGCAUGUUUGACAUUAGAUGUUGCAUAUAUUGAAUAAUGCCAAAAUAAAGAAUAUUCCCAAAUAUUCUCGCCUGUUUCAUGUUUGAUGUCGAAGUUGCAAACGUUUUACGUGAUAAGUUGCAUAUUUCACGUGAAGUGUUACAAGUUCCAUGUUUAACGUUAGUUGUUGCAUGUCAGACAUCACGGUUGCAUGUUUGACGUUAGAUGUUGUAUGUCCUGAAUAAAGCCAAAAUAAUGAAUAUUUCCGAAUAUUUUUUAGAGCAAUUCUAGAAAUAACGAUUAGCCGUUAUCAGAUAACGGUUGACCGUUAUCUUCCAGAAUCAAAUUAGCAGUUACAUUUAUUUCUAGAAGAUAAUGGUGAACCGUCAUUAAAUAACGGCUCACCGUUAUCAUCCAGAAUCAUUUUCGACGAUAACGGUGAACCGAUUUUGGAUAACGGCUAACAGUUAUCUUCCAAAAUCAUUCCGGAGGGAUAUGGAUGUGAAUUAUGUUCACCCAUACUUUGGUCUUGGACGGUUGAUAUGAAUGUGAAUAUUUGAUAAUCCAUAUAUUAUGUGAUCAAUUUAUUGCUAAUAUGGAUAUGAAAUAUUUUAUCUCAUAUUUGAUGUUAUUAAUUUAUUAAUUGUAAUAUGGAUGGGAAUUAUAUUAACCCAAAGGCUAAAUAUGAGUAUUCCAUAGAAUAAUAGCAAGUUACAUUUUCUAUCAAGCAUUUGACAAAGAUUUAAUUUUCUAUCAAGCUAA